rnacentral:rRNA from 1 species
UUGGAGGGCAAGUCUGGUGCCAGCAGCCGCGGUAAUUCCAGCUCCAAUAGCGUAUAUUAAAGUUGUUGCAGUUAAAAAGCUCGUAGUUGAAUUUCGGGAUUGACACAUCGGUCGUGCCUUAAGGGGUAUGAACUGGUGUAGUCAGUUUCUCACCUUCUGGAGAACCGCGAUGUCCUUAAUUGGGUGCCGCGGGGAACCAGGACCUUUACUUUGAAAAAAUUAGAGUGUUUAAAGCAGGCAUUUUGCUUGAAUACAUUAGCAUGGAAUAAUAAAAUAGGACGGAUGGUUCUAUUUUGUUGGUUUCUAGGAUCACCGUAAUGAUUAAUAGGGAUAGUUGGGGGCAUUAGUAUUCAAUUGUCAGAGGUGAAAUUCUUGGAUUUAUCGAAGACUAACUACUGCGAAAGCAUUUGCUAAGGAUGUUUUCAUUAAUCAAGAACGAAAGUUAGGGGAUCGAAGACGAUCAGAUACCGUCGUAGUCUUAACCAUAAACUAUGCCGACUAGGAAUCAGACGAUGUUAAUUUUUUAAUGACUCGUUUGGCACCUUACGGGAAACCAAAGUGUUUGGGUUC